ACAUGACUUGUUACUUCAUACUUUUACAUGUAUCUCAUUUCCACCUUCCUUUGUAGCUCUAUACUCUAUAUUUUUCUUUGGUAUUCUCAGCAGUCUGUAGUAGACUGUAGACUGCCUGUUUAUACAUUGCUCAUGCUGAUAAAUGGCCAGUGAUGUUGCACCAGUCAUCAAGCGCCUUGAUGAAGUUGUAGUAAACAGAAUAGCUGCUGGUGAGGUAAUUCAAAGGCCUGCCAAUGCAUUAAAAGAGAUGAUUGAAAACAGUCUUGAUGCAGGUGCAAGUAAUAUUCAAGUAGUUAUCAAGCAGGGAGGUCUAAAAAUGUUACAAAUUCAAGACAAUGGCUGUGGAAUCAGAGUAAGUUUUCACAGUGACCAGUCACUUCAUCCCUGGUCACUUCAUCCCCGGUCAUUUCAUCCUCU
rnacentral:sRNA from 1 species